rnacentral:rRNA from 1 species
GAUGAACGCUGGCGGCGUGCCUAAUACAUGCAAGUCGAGCGAACAGACGAGGAGCUUGCUCCUCUGACGUUAGCGGCGGACGGGUGAGUAACACGUGGAUAACCUACCUAUAAGACUGGGAUAACUUCGGGAAACCGGAGCUAAUACCGGAUAAUAUAUUGAACCGCAUGGUUCAAUAGUGAAAGACGGUUUUGCUGUCACUUAUAGAUGGAUCCGCGCCGCAUUAGCUAGUUGGUAAGGUAACGGCUUACCAAGGCAACGAUGCGUAGCCGACCUGAGAGGGUGAUCGGCCACACUGGAACUGAGACACGGUCCAGACUCCUACGGGAGGCAGCAGUAGGGAAUCUUCCGUAAUGGGCGAAAGCUUGACGGAGCAACGCCGCGUGAGUGAUGAAGGUCUUCGGAUCGUAAAACUCUGUUAUUAGGGAAGAACAAAUGUGUAAGUAACUAUGCACGUCUUGACGGUACCUAAUCAGAAAGCCACGGCUAACUACGU